rnacentral:rRNA from 1 species
CCCGCAACGAGCGCAACCCUUGCCAUUAGUUGCUACCAUUUAGUUGAGCACUCUAAUGGGACUGCCGGUGACAAACCGGAGGAAGGUGGGGAUGACGUCAAGUCCUCAUGGCCCUUAUGACCAGGGCUUCACACGUCAUACAAUGGUCGGUACAGAGGGUAGCCAAGCCGCGAGGUGGAGCCAAUCUCAUAAAACCGAUCGUAGUCCGGAUCGCACUCUGCAACUCGAGUGCGUGAAGUCGGAAUCGCUAGUAAUCGCAGAUCAGCAUGCUGCGGUGAAUACGUU